GAAUGGCCGAGAGAGGUCAGGGCAUUCUUUUGCCUACACAUUUGUGAAGUUCCUGAAUAAACUGCCUUGAGAAUGACCGGUUUCAUCGCUUCUUUUCUGCUGGUCGGAGAUAGUAGGAACAAGUGGUGGAACCCAUAUGGGGACGUGAAUCCAGAACUCUCAGCAGUCAGGGUAGCUGGCUGGAAAGCUCCCAGGAUUAUUGCCAGCCUCUGUGAGUUCCAGAGCGAUUGACGAGGGUAGUUCAAGAUGGACGGAGG
rnacentral:lncRNA from 1 species